AUUGAACGCUGGCGGCAUGCCUUACACAUGCAAGUCGAACGGUAACGGGCCUUCGGGUGCCGACGAGUGGCGAACGGGUGAGUAAUACAUCGGAACGUGCCCGGUCGUGGGGGAUAACGCGGCGAAAGCUUUGCUAAUACCGCAUACGAUCUGCGGAUGAAAGCAGGGGACCGCAAGGCCUUGCGCGGACGGAGCGGCCGAUGGCAGACUAGGUAGUUGGUGGGAUAAAAGCUUACCAAGCCGACGAUCUGUAGCUGGUCUGAGAGGAUGAUCAGCCACACUGGGACUGAGACACGGCCCAGACUCCUACGGGAGGCAGCAGUGGGGAAUUUUGGACAAUGGGCGCAAGCCUGAUCCAGCCAUGCCGCGUGCAGGAUGAAGGCCUUCGGGUUGUAAACUGCUUUUGUACGGAACGAAAAGCCUUCUUUUAAUACAGGAGGGUCAUGACGGUACCGUAAGAAUAAGCACCGGCUAACUACGUG
rnacentral:rRNA from 1 species